CUGGUAUGAUUGAAAUUUCAUCAUGUAACCCUAAAAGCAAUGGAAUAAUGAAUAAUUGGGUUUAUAACUCUUAUGAUUCUUACUUCAUUACAGAUUUUCCAUUUGACACACUGAAAUUAUCAAAACAACAUGGAUGAUUUACCAUGGUUUACAUCUUUCUCCAAUAAAAAUUAAUUAUUGUUAUCACAAUCAGACUGAUGGUCCAUGGUCUUAUUAAAGGUAAUAGGAUUAUACAAUCUGAAUUAUGAUUCAGGGUUUGAGUCUGAUUCUAAUUGUAUAUAAAUGUUUCAUUAGUGGACAGGUCAUGGUCCAAUUCUUUCUUGUAUUCAAACUCUACAUUAUCAAUGUAAAAUGAUCGCUUCUAAAUUCUUUAAUUAGAUAUUUUCGUAAAGAAACAAUAGACGUAACUGGUAUUACUUUUAUAUUAAACAGUUCAGUGUCAUCCUACUCGUGGGCAAUGGUUUAAUAUAUCUCUCUUUCAAUUUGAAAAUGAUCUAACCACAAUCUAUAAAUAUACGUACUAAGAAACACUGAAUCAUUGAUCCCCCUUUGCCAAAACCAGGUUCAACCCACCAUUUUUUUCUUUUUAAAAAAUGUCCUGUACCAAAUCAUGAAUAUUGCCAUUGUUAUAUUAUAGUUCAUUUCUGUGUGUGUUACAUUUUAACGUUGUGUCGUUUGUUUUCUAUUAUAUUUGACUGUGAAUUCACAUUACUGUAAGACGUGUCACGGUACUUUUCUAUCCCAAAUUCAUGUAUUUAGUUUUGAUGUUAUAUUUAUUAAUCUCAUCGGAUUUUGUCUAAUGCUAAGUCCGUUUCUAUGUAGGUUACAUUUUAAUGUUGUGUCAUUGUUCGUUUCCCUCAGUUUUAGUUUGUUACCCCGAUUUUGUUUUUGUCCAUCGAUUUACGAGUUUUGAACAGCGGUAUACUACUGUUGCCUAUAUUUGAAGUUGAUUAUUUCACAUCCCUAUCUGAGACUUGGACCAUAGUCUUAAUACACCUCUCAUGUGAGAGAUUAUUUGACCCACAAUCAUACUAUAGCGAAAGCACGCUUUUAAGGUGUUAAUUUCGCAUAAGAACUCGAAGUGUCAACAGAGUUAUCAUGUUACGAAGUCAUCAGUGUAAAUAAAAGAGACCAAAUGACACAGAAAUUAAAAACUAUAGAUCACCGUACGGCCUUCAACAUUGAGCAAAGCCUUAGUCUAUCAGUGUAAUGAUACAGUUGGUUCGGAGAUUGCGGCACACACGGUUCAAAUCAUCAACUCGAUUCUGGAAUAACGUUCCUGGACUUAGUCUGUCGGGGUAAUCCGCUCUAAAGACAGUGUCAGGUGGGUAGUUUGACUCGGUGGUUCAUCUGUCAAAAGGAAACACAGGUGUCAUAAGGUGAUCUUAGUGAGAACAUAUAGAGUAAAAGGGCAAACACUCACUUCAUUUUUACUUCCACUACAAAAACAGACCGUGACAGCGUGGCCUAUCGAUCCUUUUGACUUGCAGUGUUUUAAGUGGUGGCAGAAAAGUUACAACAGGGAUAUAUGGCUUGUGGCAGUCAAUCGUUGCUUUUGAGCCUUCGAUGUCGACUCUUUCUUCCCCACAUCUUUUCCCUUUCAAAUCAUCCUCAUGACGUUGGGGAAACAUUUUUGAUUUAGUCAUAUUGUAUUGAUACUUCAAGAUUAAUCUACUGAAUCAACAUAUAUUGAACAAAACGCCGCUGUUACAACGAUGCGGAAUUAGUUCGAAUAGAGGGACGGUGGAAACUUGUUUGAGAUAACAAGCACAUCACAAUAUAUCGCAUGGGUCGUCAACAUAAUUGCAAUUCCUAACACCAAUGUUGCUUUAAAUUAUAUCCAUUUAAACGACUUCAUUUCUCAGUUUUGAUGUUGAAUGUUUCAGUAGAGUAUUAAUUUCAAAUUAUCAAUCUAAUUCCUAAACCAUUCUUUUCACAAAAAACACCUUAGUUUUCGUUAUUUUUUUAUAGUCUCAUAGCUCACUGUGAUCAUGCCAAGAAAACAUAACUCGAUCAAUGACCACAUGAAAAGGUAUAAAUUCAAUGAAAUUGUAUUUUGCGCUUCAUAUGUCGACCAAGGCAUCAUAUUCUACAUGUUUUAACAACUUAAUCAAUGUUUUUCUUCAUUUUUUUAAAUUGUUUCACAUGCUGUCACGUUGUUAGAUUUUAUAACUUACGAACACAAAUACUAUAAAACCAGUAACUAUAUUUUGCCUAGCUAAUUUUCUUUUUAUUUUAGCGUUACUGAUGAGAAUCUAAUUAAAUCUCGAUGUAAUGCAUCUUCUGAUUGGCUGACAGUUUUUUGUCUAUCAGUUUUGAUACACAAUUUUGUUAUGCGACCGUUGCGUCAACAACGUUUUUUUCACGAUUUAAAAUGGAGUUCAAAAUUAAAUGAUUUUGUCUGUCUAUUCGAAAUAACAUAAAAAUUGGUAUGCACAAUUUUAAAUAACUCACUACUCGCAUCAUAUGUCGACAUUCAAACCUUAUUAAUAAAGAAGUAGCAUGAUUAAUAGUGAUACCAAUAUCCAUAAAAGUUUAAAGGAAAUCAAUGUUCUCAAAAACUUGCCGAAUGUCUCCUCUUAGAUCAUUAUGGUUGAUCACGUGCCUGUCGUUCAACUCGCGCGAAACAAACUUGUUUUCCUGAUUUCAAAUCUUAAUGGUUGAUCUCGCCUCUGUAGCUCAACUCUCACGAUAGCUCAACUCUCACGAUAAUUGUUUUCCUAUUAUUAGUUCCAUAUGGUUGAUAAACUGGUUUUUGCCAAACUCCUGUUAAUCGUUUUUCUUCCAUUAGUUCAAAAUGAGAGAAUUUCCUGAGGAGUUUGAAUACCCAUGACGAUUGAUGAAUGUAAAAAAACACUCCGUUCAAUAUGCAUGCGAUUCCCGCGUUUUUUCAUAUUUUGAUGCGUAUAUUAUGUAACAUUGCUUUACGAAAGUUGUGGCUUAUUCUUUAAAAAACAGUGAAUCCUGCAUUACAUGCAAAUAUAUCAAUUCAGAUAUAUCACUAGCAUAUAUAUCUGGACUGUAUCAACUUAUUCCAGUAAAAAAUAUCUUCAAAUAUACUCCUGGUGCGGGAGGUUCUCAUUGCAUUGAUGACCCAUUUGUGGCCUUCGGCUGUUGUGUGCUCUUUGGUCGGGUUGUUGUCUCAUUCCCCAUUUCCAUUCAUAAUUUUAUCUUUGCAGGAAUUGAAUGUUUGUUUACAGACAUGUUGCAUGAUAUCGAUCCAAAGUAGUCUUUCGUAACUAUUAUUGGUGUGCAAUUAGUUGAACGAUAUCAAAGUAUGCGUCAAAAACUAACAAUCAUGAAUGGAAAAUUAUACUACUGCCAAGUAUGAAUCAUGGUAAAAUAACUCCACAAAUGAAUGGUAAACUGUGUUUCACAAUAUAUAAUCCACAAAUUUAAGUCAACUGUUUCAGUUCUUUAUUCUUACCGAAUGUCUUAUCUUUCAAAUGUCGAAGCAUAAAACGUUUUGGGUAUCCAUCAAAUGCAGGUACAGAUGUGUUCUAGUCUUGAUAACCUUAUGAGAACAUCUAUGCCAGUAAUUUGCAAUUGGAAGAUUUUAUACCUCUUAUAUUUUUACAGCACCAC
rnacentral:lncRNA from 1 species